rnacentral:rRNA from 1 species
UACGAAGGUCCCGAGCGUUAUCCGGAUUUAUUGGGUUUAAAGGGUGCGUAGGCGGAUUAUUAAGUCAGUGGUGAAAGCCUACAGCUUAACUGUAGAAUUGCCAUUGAUACUGAUGAUCUUGAGUAUGAUUGAGGUGGGCGGAAUGUGUCAUGUAGCGGUGAAAUGCUUAGAUAUGACACAGAACACCGAUUGCGAAGGCAGCUCACUAAGCCAUAACUGACGCUGAUGCACGAAAGCGUGGGGAGCAAACAGG